AUGAGUGCCAUGUCAGGGAACACCAUGGCUGGCGCGCCGGCCAUGCCGGAAGCCGCCGGGGGUCCAUACGAGCGGGAGCUGAACUACAGCUUCACUGGGCGCGUCGCGCUCACCGUCGUCUUCGUCCUCUUCGGGCUCACCGUCGUCAUCGUCAUCAUGCGCGUCUUGCUGUACGUGCUGGUGUAUCGGUCUGGCCGAGGCGGAGGCCGCGGCAGCGGCGGCCUCGCCGCUGGCAUCCUCCGGUCCAUCAACUCGUUCGGAAGGAUCGGCAGCCGGCGGCACGGGCUGGACGCGUCCGCGCUCUCCGCGCUGCCGGUCACCGUGUACCGGAAGGAGGUCGGCUCCACCAGCGCCGCUGGGGCUGACUGCGCCGUGUGCCUGUCGGAGCUCGCGGACGGGGACACGGUGCGGCAGCUGCCGAACUGCGGGCACGUAUUCCACGUGGAGUGCGUCGACGCGUGGCUGCGCACCAGGACGACGUGCCCUCUCUGCCGGGCAGAGGCGGAGCUGUCCCAGGGCCAGCGGAGCGGCAAGGCGGAGGCGGCUGCGCAGUCGUCAUCGGGCACGGAGCCGCCGCAACCGACGUUGCUUGGUGCAGGAGGAACCUUGAUAGUGACCGUACAAGGUGGUAUCCAGAGAGACGUGCGCGGGUAA
rnacentral:rRNA from 1 species